rnacentral:rRNA from 1 species
GAUGAACGCUGGCGGCGUGCCUAAUACAUGCAAGUCGAGCGAACGGACGAGAAGCUUGCUUCUCUGAUGUUAGCGGCGGACGGGUGAGUAACACGUGGAUAACCUACCUAUAAGACUGGGAUAACUUCGGGAAACCGGAGCUAAUACCGGAUAAUAUUUUGAACCGCAUGGUUCAAAAGUGGAAGACGGUCUUGCUGUCACUUAUAGAUGGAUCCGCGCUGCAUUAGCUAGUUGGUAAGGUAACGGCUUACCAAGGCAACGAUGCAUAGCCGACCUGAGAGGGUGAUCGGCCACACUGGAACUGAGACACGGUCCAGACUCCUACGGGAGGCAGCAGUAGGGAAUCUUCCGCAAUGGGCGAAAGCCUGACGGAGCAACGCCGCGUGAGUGAUGAAGGUCUUCGGAUCGUAAAACUCUGUUAUUAGGGAAGAACAUAUGUGUAAGUAACUGUGCACAUCUUGACGGUACCUAAUCAGAAAGCCACGGCUAACUACGUGCCAGCAGCCGCGGUAAUACGUAGGUGGCAAGCGUUAUCCGGAAUUAUUGGGCGUAAAGCGCGCGUAGGCGGUUUUUUAAGUCUGAUGUGAAAGCCCACGGCUCAACCGUGGAGGGUCAUUGGAAACUGGAAAACUUGAGUGCAGAAGAGGAAAGUGGAAUUUCAUGUGUAGCGGUGAAAUGCGCAGAGGUAUGGAGGAACACCAGUGGCGAAGGCGACUUUCUGGUCUGUAACUGACGCUGAUGUGCGAAAGCGUGGGGAUCAAACAGGAUUAGAUACCCUGGUAGUCCACGCCGUAAACGAUGAGUGCUAAGUGUUAGGGGGUUUCCGCCCCUUAGUGCUGCAGCUAACGCAUUAAGCACUCCGCCUGGGGAGUACGACCGCAAGGUUGAAACUCAAAGGAAUUGACGGGGACCCGCACAAGCGGUGGAGCAUGUGGUUUAAUUCGAAGCAACGCGAAGAACCUUACCAAAUCUUGACAUCCUUUGACAACUCUAGAGAUAGAGCCUUCCCCUUCGGGGGACAAAGUGACAGGUGGUGCAUGGUUGUCGUCAGCUCGUGUCGUGAGAUGUUGGGUUAAGUCCCGCAACGAGCGCAACCCUUAAGCUUAGUUGCCAUCAUUAAGUUGGGCACUCUAAGUUGACUGCCGGUGACAAACCGGAGGAAGGUGGGGAUGACGUCAAAUCAUCAUGCCCCUUAUGAUUUGGGCUACACACGUGCUACAAUGGACAAUACAAAGGGCAGCGAAACCGCGAGGUCAAGCAAAUCCCAUAAAGUUGUUCUCAGUUCGGAUUGUAGUCUGCAACUCGACUACAUGAAGCUGGAAUCGCUAGUAAUCGUAGAUCAGCAUGCUACGGUGAAUACGUUCCCGGGUCU